rnacentral:misc_RNA from 1 species
CUAAGAGAAAGGUAUNAUUAAAGGUUAAAUUAUACUUUAACUCUUCCUUUGUUUUCUUAAAUGCCAUUGUGGGGGGGGUUUAGCUCAGUUGGUUAGAGCAUCGGCUUUGCAAGCCGGGGGUCAAGGGUUCGAGUCCCUUAACCUCCAUUUGUUUUUAGGUCGAAUAAAUGGAGGUUUUGCUUUUUAGUAUUGCUACGUGAGUUGUAUUCGAUUUUAAAACUGUAGUAAAAUCCAUUAAAUUUAUUAUAGUCUUUAUCCUAGAAUAAGUUUGUUUUUUAUAAUUUUUGUAUAUUAUUCAUUUUUAUUUGUGUUCUUUAAGUAAGUUCUUGAUUUUAAAUAUGCGUGUUAGUGCUUUGCUUUAACAAGCAUUGAGCUUGAGCUUUGUCUUUCAAUAUAUUUGAUUAUUGCUUAGAUGGACCUUUAUCGAAUUUUCAUUGACUGGGGACC